ACCAUGCGCAUAACCCAAUGUGCAUGCUGAGGAGGCCUCACGCCAGUUUAGGCUCUCCAGUAUCUCCCACUGAGCUACUCUGUCCCCGACUUAGAGGACCAGGAGAAGGGGGAGCUGGAGGCUGGAGCCUGCCACACCGUGGCUCGUCUCACUCUGGAUGGUGGUGGCAACAGAGAUGGCAGUGUGGCUGGAGUUUUAGGAGGGCGGCCUGAGCCGUAGGAGGGGGCUGGAGCAGUAACAUGGCGGCCUGAGCGGUUUUUCUGGCAUUGUCUGCCCAGCUGCUCCAAGCCAGGCUGAUGAAGGAGGAGUCCCCUGUGGUGAGCUGGAGGUUGUAGCCUGAAGAUGGCACAGCUCUGUGAUUCAUCUCCUGCGGUUGUGGCGGCCACGGUGAUGGAGACUGCAGCUCAACAGGAGUGAGAAAUGGAAUCAUCGUAUCGCUGAUCUAUGUAAACAAACUGAAGAAUUGUCUGAAAGAAAAUAUGACAUGAACUUAUGAAUUCAACAGGUGAAGAUUUACAACUUGAUAAAUCAACUGUCAGCUCGAGCUGUAAAAGCCAAAGGUCCGGUGAUGAUCCCAUACCCUUUUUUCCAGUCUCAUGUUGAAGAUUUUUAUGUAGAAGGCCUUCCCAAAGGAAUUUUUUUUUUUUUUUUUUUUGAGAUGGAGUUUUCACUCUUAUCGCCCAGGCUGGGGUGCAAUGGCGCAACCUUGCUGGUCACUGCAACCUCUGCCUCCUGGGUUCAAGAAAUUCUCCUGCCUUAGCCUCCCAAGUCACUGGGAUUACAGGUGCCCACCACCAUACCAGGCUAAUUUUUGUAUUUUUAGUGGAGAUGCGGUUUCACCAUGUUGGCCGGGCCAGUCUCAAACUCCUGACGUCAAGUGAUCUUCCCGCCUCGACUCCUGAUAUCAAGUGAUCUUCCCGCCUCGGCCUCCCAGAGUGCUGAGAUUACAGACGUGAACCCAUGCCUGGCCAGGAAUUUUGUUUUUUAGGAAGGCUUUCUACUAAUGGAAUUCCUGGCCUUGAGAGGAUGUUACUUUAGAAGGAAAGGAUUUUUUUGUUAUUAAAAGAGCCACCUAAGCUGAAGAUUCCCUUGAGAACAAGUACUGUCCCUGGUUUCCCAGUGCUGGAAUAUAGAAAAUGGAUGGACAAGUAAAUCCCACUCAGCACCCAUAGUCCAGGCGUGGGGACCUCAACACACCUGAGCCCCAGACAUCACCUUUCAUUGCGAGUAGCUCUGAGAUGACACUUCUGCUGUUCCCAAUUCCAGCAUUAAUUGGAUU
rnacentral:lncRNA from 1 species